GGAAUCCUGCCUGAAACUGCCAGCACCAUCUGGUAAGGCUAAAUACUCCUCAGACACCGAUAGUGAACCAGUACCGUAAGGGAAAGGUGAAAAGUACCCCGGAAGGGGAGUGAAAGAGUACCUGAAACCGUGUGCUUACAAGUAGUCAGAGCACAAUUAUGUGUGAUGGCGUGCCUUUUGUAGAAUGAACCGGCGAGUUACGAUCUGAUGCAAGGUUAAGCAGCAAAUGUGGAGCCGCAGCGAAAGCGAGUCUGAAUAGGGCGUUGAGUA
rnacentral:rRNA from 1 species